rfam:Cyphellophora europaea CBS 101466 unplaced genomic scaffold supercont1.1, whole genome shotgun sequence.
GGCCGCGUGGCCUAAUGGCUAAGGCGUUGGUUUUCGGUUAUGCUGUAUAGCAUCAGCAUCAGCAUACGCAUACCCACCAAAGAUUGUGCGUUCGAAUCGCAUCGUGGUCG